CGCAAACCAGAACAGCAUGGUUCCCCGCUGUGGCGCAAAGCGUCUGGGGAUCAAAUGGGAAUGUGGUGCGGACCGAUCCAAGUCGGGGGUCUCAUGCCACAGCCGCCCCCGCGACUGUAUGUGGAGAGCGCCCGUCACACGCCACUGGAUCACUCCGGGAAGGCGACGACGCGCAUCGACCCACAAGCCAGGAGACCAGCCGUGCACGCGUCCAACCU
rnacentral:ncRNA from 2 species